CCUUUCCAACAUAGGGUGUCCACUCCCUAGUUGAUUUUUAUUUUUUAGACAUAGGGUCUCCACUCCCUAGUCGCAUUUUCCAACAUAGGGUCUCCACUCCCUAGUUGAUGUUAUUUUAGACAUAGGGUCUCCACUCUCUAGUCUCUUUUCCAACAUUGGGUAUCCACUCCCUAGUUGAUAUUAUUUUAGACAUAGGGUCUCCACUACCUAGUCGCCUUUUCCAACAUAUGGUCUCCACUCCCUAGUUGACUUUUAUUCUUUAGACAUAGGGUCUCCACUCCCUAGUUGACUUUUAUUCUUUAGACAUAGGGUCUCCACUCCCUAGUUCUUUUUCCAACAUAGGAUCUCCACUCCCUAGUUGAUGUUAUUUUGAACAUAGGGUCU
rnacentral:lncRNA from 1 species